rnacentral:rRNA from 1 species
UACGAAGGGGGCGAGCGUUGUUCGGAAUUACUGGGCGUAAAGGGCGCGUAGGCGGCCGAUCAAGUCAGAUGUGAAAGUCCUGGGCUUAACCUGGGGACUGCAUUUGAUACUGAUUGGCUUGAAUUCGGGAGAGGAUAGCGGAAUUCCCAGUGUAGAGGUGAAAUUCGUAGAUAUUGGGAAGAACACCGGUGGCGAAGGCGGCUAUCUGGACCGACAUUGACGCUGAUGCGCGAAAGCGUGGGGAGCAAACGGG